rnacentral:rRNA from 1 species
UACGGAGGGUGCGAGCGUUGUCCGGAAUCACUGGGCGUAAAGGGCGCGUAGGCGGCCUGAUAAGUAGGGGGUGAAAUCCUGCGGCUUAACCGCAGGGCUGCCUUCUAAACUGUCAGGCUAGAGCACAGUAGAGGCAGGUGGAAUUCCCCAAGUAGAGGUGAAAUUCGUAGAUAUGGGGAGGAACACCAGUGGCGAAGGCGGCGACCUGGACGGACACUGACGCUGAGACGCGAAAGCGUGGGGGAGCAAACAGG